rnacentral:rRNA from 1 species
AUUGAACGCUGGCGGCAGGCCUAACACAUGCAAGUCGAACGAGUAGCGGACUGGUGAGUAAUUUCUGGGAAAGUGCCUGAUGGAGGGGGAUAACUACUGGAAAAGGUAGAUAAUACCGCAAACCAUCAGAUGUGCCGAGGUGGGAUUAGCUAGUUGGUGGGGUAAAGGCUCACCAAGGCGUAGAUCCCUAGCUGGUCUGAGAGGAUGACCGGCCACACUGGAACUGAGACACGGUCCAGACUCCUACGGGAGGCAGCAGUGGGGAAUAUUGCACAAUGGGCGAAAGCCUGAUGGAGCCAUGCCGCGUGUAUGAAGAAGGCCUUCGGGUUGUAAAGUACUUUCAGCGGGGAGGCGUUACCCGAAGAAGAAGCACCGGCUAACUCCGUGCCAGCAGCCGCGGUAAUUC